GACGAAAAAUAACGAUACGGGACUCAUCCGAGGCCCCGUAAUCGGAAUGAGUACACUCUAAACCCUUUAACGAGGAUCAAUUGGAGGGCAAGUCUGGUGCCAGCAGCCGCGGUAAUUCCAGCUCCAAUAGCGUAUAUUAAAGUUGUUGCGGUUAAAAAGCUCGUAGUCGAAUUUGUGUCCCGCGCCGCCGGUUCAUCGCUCGCGGUGUUUAACUGGCGUGUCCGCGGGACGUCCUGCCGGUGGGCUCAGCCUCCUCCUCUCUGGGGUGGGGGCGGCCCAACUUCAAAUCCCACCGCGGUGCUCUUUGCCGAGUGUCGAGGUGGGCCGGCACGUUUACUUUGAACAAAUUAGAGUGCUUAAAGCAGGCUAAAACUUCGCCUGAAUACUGUGUGCAUGGAAUAAUGGAAUAGGACCUCGGUUCUAUUUUGUUGGUUUUCGGAACUCCGAGGUAAUGAUUAAUAGGAACGGAUGGGGGCAUUCGUAUUGCGACGUUAGAGGUGAAAUUCUUGGAUCGUCGCAAGACGGACAGAAGCGAAAGCAUUUGCCAAAAACGCUUUCAUUGAUCAAGAACGAAAGUUAGAGGUUCGAAGGCGAUCAGAUACCGCCCUAGUUCUAACCAUAAACGAUGCCAGCUAGCGAUCCGCCGACGUUCCUCCGAUGACUCGGCGGGCAGCUUCCGGGAAACCAAAGCUUUUGGGUUCCGGGGGAAGUAUGGUUGCAAAGCUGAAACUUAAAGGAAUUGACGGAAGGGCACCACCAGGAGUGGAGCCUGCGGCUUAAUUUGACUCAACACGGGAAACCUCACCAGGCCCGGACACCGGAAGGAUUGACAGAUUGACAGCUCUUUCUUGAUUCGGUGGGUGGUGGUGCAUGGCCGUUCUUAGUUGGUGGAGCGAU
rnacentral:rRNA from 1 species